rnacentral:rRNA from 1 species
GGGUUGUGAGGUUAAGCGACUAAGCGUACACGGUGGAUGCCCUGGCAGUCAGAGGCGAUGAAGGGCGUGCUAAUCUGCGAUAAGCGCCGGUAAGGUGAUAUGAACCGUUAUAACCGGCGAUACCCGAAUGGGGAAACCCAGUGUGAUUUGUCACACUAUCAUUAACUGAAUCCAUAGGUUAAUGAGGCGAACCGGGGGAACUGAAACAUCUAAGUACCCCGAGGAAAAGAAAUCAACCGAGAUUCCCCCAGUAGCGGCGAGCGAACGGGGAGGAGCCCAGAGCCUGAAUCAGCAUGUGUGUUAGUGGAAGCGUCUGGAAAGGCGCGCGAUACAGGGUGACAGCCCCGUACACAAAAGCGCAUGUGCUGUGAGCUCGAUGAGUAGGGCGGGACACGUGGUAUCCUGUCUGAAUAUGGGGGGACCAUCCUCCAAGGCUAAAUACUCCUGACUGACCGAUAGUGAACCAGUACCGUGAGGGAAAGGCGAAAAGAACCCCGGCGAGGGGAGUGAAAAAGAACCUGAAACCGUGUACGUACAAGCAGUGGGAGCACAGGUUUACCUGUGUGACUGCGUACCUUUUGUAUAAUGGGUCAGCGACUUAUAUUCUGUAGCAAGGUUAACCGAAUAGGGGAGCCGUAGGGAAACCGAGUCUUAACCGGGCGUUAAGUUGCAGGGUAUAGACCCGAAACCCGGUGAUCUAGCCAUGGGCAGGUUGAAGGUUGGGUAACACUAACUGGAGGACCGAACCGACUAAUGUUGAAAAAUUAGCGGAUGACCUGUGGCUGGGGGUGAAAGGCCAAUCAAACCGGGAGAUAGCUGGUUCUCCCCGAAAGCUAUUUAGGUAGCGCCUCGUGAAUUCAUCUCCGGGGGUAGAGCACUGUUUCGGCUAGGGGGCCAUCCCGGCUUACCAACCCGAUGCAAACUGCGAAUACCGGAGAAUGUUAUCACGGGAGACACACGGCGGGUGCUAACGUCCGUCGUGAAGAGGGAAACAACCCAGACCGCCAGCUAAGGUCCCAAAGUCAUGGUUAAGUGGGAAACGAUGUGGGAAGGCCCAGACAGCCAGGAUGUUGGCUUAGAAGCAGCCAUCAUUUAAAGAAAGCGUAAUAGCUCACUGGUCGAGUCGGCCUGCGCGGAAGAUGUAACGGGGCUAAACCAUGCACCGAAGCUGCGGCAGCGACACUGUGUGUUGUUGGGUAGGGGAGCGUUCUGUAAGCCUGCGAAGGUGGCCUGUGAGGGUUGCUGGAGGUAUCAGAAGUGCGAAUGCUGACAUAAGUAACGAUAAAGCGGGUGAAAAGCCCGCUCGCCGGAAGACCAAGGGUUCCUGUCCAACGUUAAUCGGGGCAGGGUGAGUCGACCCCUAAGGCGAGGCCGAAAGGCGUAGUCGAUGGGAAACGGGUUAAUAUUCCCGUACUUGGUGUUACUGCGAAGGGGGGACGGAGAAGGCUAUGUUGGCCGGGCGACGGUUGUCCCGGUUUAAGCGUGUAGGUGUGUGUUCCAGGUAAAUCCGGUUCACUUUAACACUGAGGCGUGACGACGAGGCACUACGGUGCUGAAGCAACAAAUGCCCUGCUUCCAGGAAAAGCCUCUAAGCAUCAGGUAACAUCAAAUCGUACCCCAAACCGACACAGGUGGUCAGGUAGAGAAUACCAAGGCGCUUGAGAGAACUCGGGUGAAGGAACUAGGCAAAAUGGUGCCGUAACUUCGGGAGAAGGCACGCUGACACGUAGGUGAAGUGAUUUACUCACGGAGCUGAAGUCAGUCGAAGAUACCAGCUGGCUGCAACUGUUUAUUAAAAACACAGCACUGUGCAAACACGAAAGUGGACGUAUACGGUGUGACGCCUGCCCGGUGCCGGAAGGUUAAUUGAUGGGGUCAGCGCAAGCGAAGCUCCUGAUCGAAGCCCCGGUAAACGGCGGCCGUAACUAUAACGGUCCUAAGGUAGCGAAAUUCCUUGUCGGGUAAGUUCCGACCUGCACGAAUGGCGUAAUGAUGGCCAGGCUGUCUCCACCCGAGACUCAGUGAAAUUGAACUCGCUGUGAAGAUGCAGUGUACCCGCGGCAAGACGGAAAGACCCCGUGAACCUUUACUAUAGCUUGACACUGAACAUUGAGCCUUGAUGUGUAGGAUAGGUGGGAGGCUUUGAAGUGUGGACGCCAGUCUGCAUGGAGCCGACCUUGAAAUACCACCCUUUAAUGUUUGAUGUUCUAACGUGGACCCGUAAUCCGGGUUGCGGACAGUGUCUGGUGGGUAGUUUGACUGGGGCGGUCUCCUCCUAAAGAGUAACGGAGGAGCACGAAGGUUGGCUAAUCCUGGUCGGACAUCAGGAGGUUAGUGCAAUGGCAUAAGCCAGCUUGACUGCGAGCGUGACGGCGCGAGCAGGUGCGAAAGCAGGUCAUAGUGGAUCCGGUGGUUCUGAAUGGAAGGGCCAUCGCUGCAACGGAUAAAAGGUACUCCGGGGAUAACAGGCUGAUACCGCCCAAGAGUUCAUAUCGACGGCGGUGUUUGGCACCUCGAUGUCGGCUCAGUCACAUCCUGGGGCUGAAGUAGGUCCCAAGGGUAUGGCUGUUCGCCAUUUAAAGUGGUACGCGAGCUGGGUUUAGAACGUCGUGAGACAGUUCGGUCCCUAUCUGCCGUGGGCGCUGGAGAACUGAGGGGGGCUGCUCCUAGUACGAGAGGACCGGAGUGGACGCAUCACUGGUGUUCGGGUUGUCAUGCCAAUGGCACUGCCCGGUAGCUAAAUGCGGAAGAGAUAAGUGCUGAAAGCAUCUAAGCACGAAACUUGCCCCGAGAUGAGUUCUCCCUGAGACUUAGAGUCUCCUGAAGGAACGUUGAAGACGACGACGUUGAUAGGCCGGGUGUGUAAGCGCAGCGAUGCGUUGAGCUAACCGGUACUAAUGAACCGUGAGGCUUAACCUUACAACGCCAAAG